rnacentral:lncRNA from 1 species
CUAGGAUUGUCACCAUCCACAAUCACACAGCUAGUGAAGGGAAAGACCGUGACCCGAGCUAUGCCUGCUGACCGCGUGCCUCCUACGGUCCACCACGAGGCCAUGCUUGGUAGCCCCUUUGCCAGCAUUUAUCACAUCCCCUUCGCUAGCAUUUAUUACAUCUAAUUGAGUUGGCCAUUUCUUGUUCCUUUCUUCUUACAACACCUGCACAAUAAACCCUACACUUUGGGGACAAGUAAUUCAAUUAACUUUUAUUAGAUAACUGGGGGCAUUGAAAGAAGGGAUAUUUACAGAGUCAGGCAGAGUUCAGUGAUUUUUCAAGGAGGCCAUGUUUCCUGUGUCAUCAUUCACAAAACAUUUGAGGUGGAAUCUGUGAAUCAGGCCCUCUGUUUAGUGCUGGAGACAAAGGGAUGGAUCACAUGGGCAGUUCCCCUUGUCCGAUCAGGGAAAGUCUUUGCUUAUAGGACCAGUGAUCUCCUUUUCUUUAAGAGGGGCCAAUUCCCCACCAAGGAUGAUCUGGAGGGAACUGUCAAAGAUACAGCAAGUUCUGUUGCCUUGGGAGUGACUGUGAUCUCAACCGAUGAUGCUGUUUGUGCCAUAAAAUAAAAACCCAAAGUGAUUUAAUUGAUCCUGAGCUUGUCCUCUGAGUAGGGCAGCUGGCGUGGUUCGGUCCCACCAGGGAAGGCCAAUAUCCUGGUGCUGACCUCCAUGGCCAAUAACCUGGCUUCUCUGAACCAUUUCGGCUUUUGUUUCCUUGAAGACUGAGCGCUUUGGAGACUGAUGAUGUCAUGUGUCAGGUGAAGAUAGAAAGAAAAGACUAUAGAGAACUUUCUGGGUAGCUAAGAAAAUAAAUGAAGGUGGCAGAAACGAAUGCGACACCCUCAGCGUCUUCUACAAUGAUGAGAGGGAGGAGAAAGAUGGAGAGGAAAAUAUCGAAAGGUAUUUUCAACAAAAAUUACUGGGCGAUACGUCACACACGCUAAAGAGUGCGUACAACAUCCAUGUGCAGCUCAGUGAAUGCCAGCAUCCCUCUGUCCAGCUUAAGGAGACCUGCAGUGCCUCAAUGCUGAACCAUGGGGUGAAAUCUCCCCCACCAAGUAAACCCCAUCCUGAGCUUGCUUGUCAUUCUUGUGUUUAUCUUCGUGUCUUGGUACCUAUGUAUAAAUCAACAGACCAAAUGGUGUUUCGUUGUGCCCGUUUUUGAACUUUCUAUGUGGGAUGUGUGCAAUGUGUUACUAUGGCGGCUGUGAGAAUGUGCCUCAUGUUUCCUUCUACAGGGAGCGCCACUGACCGAGGGCUCAGCUGCUAAACUCUGAGGUUCAUGGGUGCUGGUGCCCAGGCUGCCUCCCACAUGCUGCUCGCUGGCGGUGGCUGUGGGGAGGAUGCUCAGGCAGCCCUGUUCCUGGAGGCAGGCCCUUUGCAGGCCAACUGUGGCUCCAUGACUCCCUGAAGCAUAUUUCUCGGACCACAUGGCGGUCUAGGAUGCUUCCGCC